rnacentral:rRNA from 1 species
AGUGGUGCGACGAACCAGGGCUUGCCCUGGGGCCAAGCCGCGAACGGGUGAGUAACACGUGGGUAACCUGCCCCGAUGACUGGGACAACCCGAGGAAACUCGGGCUAAUACCGGAUGUUGCGCACAGGCAUAAGCCUGUGCGCUAAAGGAAGCUUCGGCCUCCGCAUUGGGAGGGGCCCGCGGCCCAUUAGCUUGUUGGUGGGGUCACGGCCUACCAAGGCAACGAUGGGUAGCUGGUCUGAGAGGACGAUCAGCCACACUGGGACUGAGACACGGCCCAGACUCCUACGGGAGGCAGCAGUGGGGAAUCUUGCGCAAUGCGCGAAAGCGUGACGCAGCAACGCCGCGUGGGGGAAGACGGCCUUCGGGUUGUAAACCCCUUUCAGGAGGGACGAAGGUUCACCGGUGAAUAGCCGUGUGGAUUGACGGUACCUCCAGAAGAAGCUCCGGCUAACUACGUGCCAGCAGCCGCGGUAAUACGUAGGGAGCAAGCGUUGUCCGGAAUCAUUGGGCGUAAAGCGCGCGUAGGCGGCCCUGUAAGUCCGCUGUGAAAGUCAAAGGCUCAACCUUUGAAAGCCGGUGGAUACUGCGGGGCUAGAGUCCGGAAGAGGCGAGUGGAAUUCCUGGUGUAGCGGUGGAAUGCGCAGAUAUCAGGAGGAACACCAAUAGCGAAGGCAGCUCGCUGGGACGGUACUGACGCUGAGGCGCGA